UACAAUAUGGUGUACGGGCAUAUAAAUUUUUGGAGUUUAAGGAGAAAAUCAAAUUUCUUUUGUAA
rnacentral:tRNA from 1 species